UGUGUGGCAUUAACAACCUUGAAUUAUCUGCCACCCCGUCAGGAUAAAAGCAGCGCCAAGGUGACUCGUAGCAACUAUUGUCAGAUGGUCCUCGCUUUUUCUUCAGCAAAGCGUGAAAGCGAAACGACCUGCCGAAUUCUCCCAGUCCCUCAGCGCUAAAUGGGAAAAUAUUACAAUGCACACACUUCCACCUCCAAAUGAAAUGCCGCGAGGAGGAGGAGGAGGAGGAGGAGGACAACUGUGGAAUACUUAGAGGAAGCUGUAUGUCUGAAACGUUAGGAAUAAGAAAACAUCCCAUCGGUGGGUAAAGCGCAGCUUUAUUGCCCACAUUAGAAAUCCCUCAGGGCCGUCAGUGCUGCUAAUGAAUGCCUGCUACUUAUUGGAUGCUAAUUUUCCUCUGAAUGCCGAGCAUGUCAUGUAUAUCAGGGGCUUUUCUUAAACAAACUGCUCCAGGAGCAUUGCUCCACAGCGCCGGGAGAGACCCGUCAAAAUAAAAGCAGCAUUGAGGAAAGCCCCUGAUCCUCCGACGCUGUUUUACUACACAUCUACUCGUCAGCUCGCGUAUUUGCAGGUCAGCCUCGUGCGCGCUUCCUAACAUGCUCGGCGUUCCAAGUGAGCUUCCGCUGGGUUUGUUUAUAUCCUCAUUUGUUUGCCUGUUUGUUUGUGCGAUCGCCGCGCUCUGCAGCUGAGCUAACAAGGCGCCAUUUUGCCCGGGCGGCUGGUACGGUCCAAUUAAAGCGUGUGAUCAGCCAGAACGCUUUAAUGAUGGUUGUGGAGCUGGAGUUGACCGGCUCGCACAGAGAGAGGGAUGGCGUGCUGCUGUGAGGUGGUGUCUGCGGCGUGCUGGUGUUGUGGCUCAGUGGCUGCACUGCAGACUGGAGACAGGCUGAAAUUAGCCUUCCUCUGCUUCUGUCAGGAGGAAGGCGAGCCAGCUGCACGCGCCGCCUCACGACUCAAGCUGAGGUCUGUGAGUGUGUGUGUGUGUGUGCGUGUGUGCACUCGUUCUUCUUCAUGUAGGAAAAACACAGCAUCACGCCACUGAGGUUAGAAACUUACCGUCCCAGGUGCGCCAUGAUGACAUCCCCAUGUUCAGUGACCUUUGACCUUUAUCUCCUACUGAAGACUAAAUAAAUACGAGACGGAAAGACGCAGAGGAAGACGAGGAAAGUGAAGACAUCAGACAGAUGAAGGUUUGUCGUUUCUCGGCGUCACGGCCGUAUUGUGCUAAUCUCAAAGCCUCUAAACGAAGUGCUGGAGUCUCUGUUUGCAGCCCACUCUGGAGGGCCGGUAAACCACUGAGCGCCUGAGAGGAUGUGGUGGGAGAGAGCUGGACAUGAAAUAAACGCCGUGACAGAUCACUUCUGAGAUGUUUACAGUAAGCGUGCACGCCGGAUCGGCUCCUAAUCCCGAACUCACAGCAUCAUCUGAGCGAGGGAGCGAGGUCGGAGUCAGCUGGUUUCUGCUGAGCAGAUUAUACCGAGACUGUGAAAUAAGUUCAACGAGCUGAAGUUCAAGUUUGAACAAACAACCAACAUUUUUUCUGUUAAUGAAUUUGAAUGAAUUCAUUAUAAUUUUCUACAUCACUUCCUGUUUGCUGGAAGAAACAGCUGCUAGGCUGAAAAGUGCAGUUAGGGGCCCUUUGCUGCUAAAGUAUUUAUUUACACCUAUAUUUAUACCCACACUCCACACUGGUACUCAGGCUGUUGCACUCUAGUUAUAGUAUUAUUUAUUGUAUUGUCUUAUUAUUUGUCAUUCUGUUAUGUUAAAAAAAAACAAAAAAAAAAACAAAAAAAAGAAACCAACUAUUUAUUUAUAACUUUGAGAAAAAAAAAUUCUGUUUCUUCAUUAUUUUUGUUCCUUUUCACUCCGGACCGUGUGCACAUAAUUUCGUUCCACCUCAUGUUAACAUGUGAUGCGAAUGAUAAAUAAAGCUCCUUGAAUCCUUGAAUCCUUGAAUAGGAAAAGUUAGAACUUAAAGAUGAUGGGAACAGAGCUCGAGUCAAACGGGAAACAUCUUUGGUGUCUCAGACUGAUUGCAAACAGCUGCAAUCAGAUAGUUACCCAGAGAUUCAAAUGUAACACCUUUGACCUCUGGGUGGUCACUUUCCAUCACCUGGUGACUGCACCGAUCACCUGGUGGGAGGAAACCUGUCUCCAAACAGCUGCAGUCCGAGUCAGACCGUUUGGAGACGUUUGCCUCCCACCAGGUGACCGCCGCAAUCUUCCUGUGAUUGGAAGCGUCUUCAUGUUGCAUGUCCAACCUCUGAUUGGCCAGGUGGUCUUUGCAACUACUUUCAAUUAAUCUCCAACAAUCACAGCAACCUGAUAUCACGGCAAAGUGUGAGAUGGACACUCCUGUCCACUGUG